CGUCGGAAUCUGGGAGGACCAUCUCCUAAGGCUAAAUACUCUCUAGUGACCGAUAGUGAACCAGUACCGUGAGGGAAAGGUGAAAAGCACCCCGGAAGGGGAGUGAAAUAGAACCUGAAACCGUGUGCUUACAAGUAGUCAGAGCCCGUUAAUGGGUGAUGGCGUGCCUUUUGUAGAAUGAACCGGCGAGUUACGAUUUGAUGCAAGGUUAAGCAGUAAAUGUGGAGCCGUAGCGAAAGCGAGUCUGAAUAGGGCGUUUAGUAUUUGGUCGUAGACCCGAAACCAGGUGAUCUACCCUUGGUCAGGUUGAAGUUCAGGUAACACUGAAUGGAGGACCGAACCGACUUACGUUGAAAAGUGAGCGGAUGAACUGAGGGUAGCGGAGAAAUUCCAAUCGAACCUGGAGAUAGCUGGUUCUCUCCGAAAUAGCUUUAGGGCUAGCCUCAAGUGAUGAUUAUUGGAGGUAGAGCACUGUUUGGACGAGGGGCCCCUCUCGGGUUACCGAAUUCAGACAAACUCCGAAUGCCAAUUAAUUUAACUUGGGAGUCAGAACAUGGGUGAUAAGGUCCGUGUUCGAAAGGGAAACAGCCCAGACCACCAGCUAAGGUCCCAAAAUAUAUGUUAAGUGGAAAAGGAUGUGGCGUUGCCCAGACAACUAGGAUGUUGGCUUAGAAGCAGCCAUCAUUUAAAGAGUGCGUAAUAGCUCACUAGUCGAGUGACACUGCGCCGAAAAUGUACCGGGGCUAAACAUAUUACCGAAGCUGUGGAUUGUCCUUUGGACAAUGGUAGGAGAGCGUUCUAAGGGCGUUGAAGCAUGAUCGUAAGGACAUGUGGAGCGCUUAGAAGUGAGAAUGCCGGUGUGAGUAGCGAAAGACGGGUGAGAAUCCCGUCCACCGAUUGACUAAGGUUUCCAGAGGAAGGCUCGUCCGCUCUGGGUUAGUCGGGUCCUAAGCUGAGGCCGACAGGCGUAGGCGAUGGAUAACAGGUUGAUAUUCCUGUACCACCUAUAAUCGUUUUAAUCGAUGGGGGGACGCAGUAGGAUAGGCGAAGCGUGCGAUUGGAUUGCACGUCUAAGCAGUAAGGCUGAGUAUUAGGCAAAUCCGGUACUCGUUAAGGCUGAGCUGUGAUGGGGAGAAGACAUUGUGUCUUCGAGUCGUUGAUUUCACACUGCCGAGAAAAGCCUCUAGAUAGAAAAUAGGUGCCCGUACCGCAAACCGACACAGGUAGUCAAGAUGAGAAUUCUAAGGUGAGCGAGCGAACUCUCGUUAAGGAACUCGGCAAAAUGACCCCGUAACUUCGGGAGAAGGGGUGCUCUUUAGGGUUAACGCCCAGAAGAGCCGCAGUGAAUAGGCCCAAGCGACUGUUUAUCAAAAACACAGGUCUCUGCUAAACCGUAAGGUGAUGUAUAGGGGCUGACGCCUGCCCGGUGCUGGAAGGUUAAGAGGAGUGGUUAGCUUCUGCGAAGCUACGAAUCGAAGCCCCAGUAAACGGCGGCCGUAACUAUAACGGUCCUAAGGUAGCGAAAUUCCUUGUCGGGUAAGUUCCGACCCGCACGAAAGGCGUAACGAUUUGGGCACUGUCUCAACGAGAGACUCGGUGAAAUCAUAGUACCUGUGAAGAUGCAGGUUACCCGCGACAGGACGGAAAGACCCCGUGGAGCUUUACUGUAGCCUGAUAUUGAAAUUCGGCACAGCUUGUACAGGAUAGGUAGGAGCCUUUGAAACGUGAGCGCUAGCUUACGUGGAGGCGCUGGUGGGAUACUACCCUAGCUGUGUUGGCUUUCUAACCCGCACCACUUAUCGUGGUGGGAGACAGUGUCAGGCGGGCAGUUUGACUGGGGCGGUCGCCUCCUAAAAGGUAACGGAGGCGCUCAAAGGUUCCCUCAGAAUGGUUGGAAAUCAUUCAUAGAGUGUAAAGGCAUAAGGGAGCUUGACUGCGAGACCUACAAGUCGAGCAGGGUCGAAAGACGGACUUAGUGAUCCGGUGGUUCCGCAUGGAAGGGCCAUCGCUCAACGGAUAAAAGCUACCCCGGGGAUAACAGGCUUAUCUCCCCCAAGAGUUCACAUCGACGGGGAGGUUUGGCACCUCGAUGUCGGCUCAUCGCAUCCUGGGGCUGUAGUCGGUCCCAAGGGUUGGGCUGUUCGCCCAUUAAAGCGGUACGCGAGCUGGGUUCAGAACGUCGUGAGACAGUUCGGUCCCUAUCCGUCGUGGGCGUAGGAAAUUUGAGAGGAGCUGUCCUUAGUACGAGAGGACCGGGAUGGACAUACCUCUGGUGUACCAGUUGUCGUGCCAACGGCAUAGCUGGGUAGCUAUGUGUGGACGGGAUAAGUGCUGAAAGCAUCUAAGCAUGAAGCCCCCCUCAAGAUGAGAUUUCCCAACUUCGGUUAUAAGAUCCCUCAAAGAUGAUGAGGUUAAUAGGUUCGAGGUGGAAGCAUGGUGACAUGUGGAGCUGACGAAUACUAAUCGAUCGAAGACUUAAUCAA
rnacentral:rRNA from 1 species